UACGUAGGGUGCAAGCGUUAUUCGGAAUUAUUGGGCGUAAAGGGCGCGUAGGCGGUUCUGCAAGCCCGGCGUGAAAAUCUGGAGCUUAACUCCGGAACUGCGUUGGGAACUGCGGGACUAGAGUCAUAGAAGGGGAGUUGGAAUUCCAGGUGUAGGGGUGAAAUCUGUAGAUAUCUGGAAGAACACCGGUGGCGAAGGCGAACUCCUGGCUACUGACUGACGCUGAGGCGCGAAAGUGCGGGGAGCAAACAGG
rnacentral:rRNA from 1 species